UCUGUGCCUCUGUUGCCUUCUCAAGUCUCCUGAGUGACAUUCUGGGCUUAGGGCUUGGAGCCAUGUGGGUCAUCUAUCCAGGAGAGGUAGGCACUCGGGUGACUUGAAAAAGAAUCUUCCCUUGCAAGGUCCAUGUCCCUGCAACCACUGCCCCCUCACCUUCCCCAGCCCACUUUUUCUAUGACCUUGGGAGAGUGUACUUCCGGGCGACAGUGAUGCCAAAAUAAAUACCACGCCGGUGCUGGCACUGAACCCUGGAAAAACACUUGCCAAAGAGCAAAGUAUAAUAAUGCCCCCAGGCAGGGAAAGGUGGAUCAAUGGAUUUGGGGACAGAUGAAGGAUAGAGGGAGAAUGGGAGCUGAAGGACGAUUCUUUUGGCAAGGUAGCCUGAGCCUUGUGUGGGCUACUGAGGAUGGUUCCCUCUGGGGUUUAAGGAUGAGCGUACAACUCUCAGAUUUCUGGGGGAACAUUUGGAAACUUCCACUACAUGUUCCUGCUGUGGCCCUAUUUCUCUAUCUGCAGGAGGGAAUGGCUUGGUUUCUUGGAGACACCUCCCUCCUUAGAUGAGAAGGGACCCAGUGAGUGAGGGAGGUCAUGAAAUCAUUCUCCCUGGCUGGGGUGGAGGGUUGAAAUGGAGUCCCGGGUAGUGUCCUCUUCUCUUAGGGUUGACAAGGGACAUCUAGCAAUGACCAGUGAACACCUAUGCCUGUAAGAUGUCUCUGUGUCUGUGCACACCUGUGCCUGUCUCUGUGAUCCACAACUGUAACUUUGAGUGUGGUACAUUCAGCAAGCCUCACCCAGCUUUGGGAGAGACAGACACUUGGAAGAAUAUAAACAACUCCACUACAUUCUACUGGGAAACCUGAGGGAGGUUAGCUCCUGCAAGUGUUUUCUGUCUAGUUCCUCAUACCUGUCUCUCCCUGUGAGCCACAGCUUAGCUCAAGGGGCAGACUUGCUCACACUCACCUGUCUUUUCACCUUUUUCUUUCCCUUU
rnacentral:lncRNA from 1 species